GUGAGAUUUAGGCACCUGGGUAAUUGCAGACUCCUUAUCAGCUAUAUGCCAGGAAUACUACUUCUUUCACCAUUUCAAACUGUCAGAAGUACCUAGACCCUCGUUCAUCGCUUCAGCAGUCUAGACAGAAAUCGCCAUUUCACCGCCGCUCUAAACCAUGCUGCCGAGAGCUCAACUUCUCUUUGCCAGGCUUCCUUGACUCCUCCCCUGGAUGCUUCCGGGAGCGUGCUUACAUCAUCCCGGCGCAAACCCUCUCCUGGCCUUGAUCUCUCCUCAGGGCAGCCCUCUACUCUCUCCUCCAGCUCUGCCUCACUCCCACUUUGAUAUUUCCUGUCCUA